rnacentral:rRNA from 1 species
UGCGUAGGGUGCAAGCGUUAAUCGGAAUUACUGGGCGUAAAGGGCUCGUAGGCGGUUUGUCGCGUCGGGAGUGAAAACUCAGGGCUUAACCCUGAGCCUGCUUCCGAUACGGGCAGACUAGAGGUAUGCAGGGGAGAACGGAAUUCCUGGUGUAGCGGUGAAAUGCGCAGAUAUCAGGAGGAACACCGGUGGCGAAGGCGGUUCUCUGGGCAUGUCCUGACGCUGAGGAGCGAAAGUGUGGGAGGCGAACAGG